rnacentral:sRNA from 1 species
AGUUAGUCGCACGCGUUAGGGAUAGAAACGGCAUCCUUUUUAAAUAGCCUUUGCUUUUAAAAGCAAAGGCUAUUUAAAAAGAUAUAGUGUAUAGCCCGACCCCAA